CGCUCUUUUCAGAGCCAACAGGAACGUCCCUGGACUCCAGUGGCGGACGGGCGUCCGAAGAACCCCGCGCGGCCGGCGCCGUCACCGGACGGCACGACGCUCGGAGUCAGGGUCCUGAAGCUGCAAACGACGUCGAACUGGAGGAAAUCUGCUGACUCGCGCGCCACGAGCCUCAAGUUGGCUUUUCCCACCGCCGCUUCCGGUGCGCCGACCAAUCAGAAGGCUACUUCGGUCGCCCGGAGGCCCUGCCCGCUCACAGGCAGGGUCCUUUGUUUGGGAAGAUUUAAAAAAGAUGGGUAGAAUCACUUUUAGAAGCAGGUGAACUGGACAUUAAAAUGUCUUUGAACA